UACGAAGGGGGCUAGCGUUGCUCGGAAUCACUGGGCGUAAAGGGUGCGUAGGCGGGUCUUUAAGUCGGGGGUGAAAUCCUGGAGCUCAACUCCAGAACUGCCUUCGAUACUGGGGAUCUCGAGUCCGGGAGAGGUGAGUGGAACUGCGAGUGUAGAGGUGAAAUUCGUAGAUAUUCGCAAGAACACCAGUGGCGAAGGCGGCUCACUGGCCCGGUACUGACGCUGAGGUGCGAAAGCGUGGGGAGCAAACAGG
rnacentral:rRNA from 1 species